UUCUAGUGAUUGUGUGAUACUGUUGAUUGG
rnacentral:piRNA from 1 species